rnacentral:lncRNA from 1 species
AGGAAUAAAAUUCAAAAAGGCCGCUCAUCAGGAAUUUAUUGCGCACGCGCAAGAGUUUCAUUUUUCAUUUGUUUAAUUUGAAAUUUAGUUUUUCAACGAUUUCGACGUAGAUGUGCUUGAUUGUGUUUUGGUGUGAACAAUUUUGGAGAAAGUUUUUGUGAUUAUUAGUGAUAAAGAAGUUUAAAAAGCGUUCUUAUGUAUCAUAAUAACGAUAGCACAAGAUAGAAAGAAAAUAUAUGUUAUAAAAGAGGAAACUUCUAUUUCUGUUUGAUACUUUCGAACAUUGUAGAUUAUUCAUUUGUUAAAACUAACGCAAAAGGAUAAAGUAAAAGUAAUGGAAAA